UCAGAUGAGCCAGGUCGGAUUAGCUAGUUGUGAGGUAAUGGCUCACCAAGGCACGAUCCGUAACUGGUCUGAGAGGAUGAUCAGUCACAUUGGAACUGAGACACGGUCCAGACUCCUACGGGAGGCAGCAGUGAGGAAUAUUGGGCAAUGGAGGCAACUCUGACCCAGCCAUGCCGCGUGAGUGAGAAGGUUUUCGAAUUGUAAAGCUCUUUCGGGUGUGAAGAUGAUGACGGUAACACCAGAAGAAGCCCCGGCAAACUUCGUGCCUGCAGCCGCGGUAAUACGAAGGGGGCGAGCGUUGUUCGGAAUUACUGGGCGUAAAGGGUGUGUAGGCGGUUAAGUAAGAUAGUGGUGAAAUGCCGGGGCUCAACCUCGGAAUUGCCAUUAUGACUAUUUGGCUAGAAUGAUGUAGAGGAUAGCGGAAUACCCAGUGUAGAGGUGAAAUUCGUAGAUAUUGGGUAGAAACACCGGAGGCGAAGGCGGCUAUCCUGGGGUCCCUAUUUUAUUUGACCGUCGUCGUACGGUCCGAACGCGGGCCCG
rnacentral:rRNA from 1 species